GCUUCCACAUGCUGCAAUACAGAUCAAUUAUUCAGGAAGGCAUUUAGUCAAACUACAUUUUCGUUGCCCUACUAAUUUUUGGUCACGCUCUCAUUGCACCGAUACCAUAUUUGUGAUGCGUAUGAAUUUAGCAAGUGGGCCAUCUUAGUGUUAGUAUUCAUAUAAUUGAUUUCUUUGAGCAUUUUCAUCUUUUGUAAUAAUUUUCCAAUA
rnacentral:lncRNA from 1 species